CAAUAGCGUAUAUUAAAGUUGUUGCAGUUAAAAGCUCGUAGUUGGAUUUCUGGCAGGAGCGACCGGUCGGCCCAUUGUGGUGUGUACUAGUGUUGCAUCUGGCCAUAUUUGUGGAGAGCGUGUGUGGCAUUAAUUUGUCGUGCUCGGGACCCGCAUCGUUUACUGUGAGAAAAUUAGAGUGUUCAAAGCAGGCUUAUGCCUUGGAUAUGUUAGCAUGGAAUAAUAAGAUAAGACUUUGGCGGUCUAUUUUGUUGGUUUUCGGAAGUCGAGGUAAUGAUUAAGAGGGACAGACGGGGGCAUUCGUACUGGGCCGCCAGAGGUGAAUUCUUUAACUGGCUCAUGACGAACCACUGCGAAAGCAUUUGCCAGGGAUGUUUUCACUGAUCAAGAACGAAAGUUAGGGGAUCGAAGAUGAUCAGAUACC
rnacentral:rRNA from 1 species